rnacentral:rRNA from 1 species
AUUGAACGCUAGCGGGAUGCUUUACACAUGCAAGUCGAACGGCAGCGCGGACUUCGGUCUGGCGGCGAGUGGCGAACGGGUGAGUAAUGUAUCGGAACGUGCCCAGUAGCGGGGGAUAACUACGCGAAAGCGUAGCUAAUACCGCAUACGCCCUACGGGGGAAAGCCGGGGAUCGUAAGACCUUGCACUAUUGGAGCGGCCGAUAUCGGAUUAGCUAGUUGGUGAGGUAACGGCUCACCAAGGCGACGAUCCGUAGCUGGUGUGAGAGGACGACCAGCCACACUGGGACUGAGACACGGCCCAGACUCCUACGGGAGGCAGCAGUGGGGAAUUUUGGACAAUGGGGGCAACCCUGAUCCAGCCAUCCCGCGUGUGCGAUGAAGGCCUUCGGGUUGUAAAGCACUUUUGGCAGGAAAGAAACGUCGCGGGCUAAUACCCCGUGGAACUGACGGUACCUGCAGAAUAAGCACCGGCUAACUACGUG